CAGUGUCCAGACCUGAAAGCUCUUCAGUUCCUGUACCGUUGAUUGUUGGGCUGGUUUGUGGAAUCGUACUUAUUCUUCUUCUGCUCCUUUUGUAUCGCUACAGACCGUCCAAAGAUUCCUGCUCCAUCAGGCCAAUCCAGUCUGAGAGCACUAAUCGAGGUUCUGUCGAAAACUACUCCUCUCCUGUCCACGAUUAAUUUGACAGUGGCUGCAGGUGAUGCUCCUCUCUAUGAAACAAUCAAAGGCUUUGAAAACACACAGAGUGUUGCAGAUGAGUCCCAGGAUUUCACAUAUUCUUUGAUCGAGAUUAAAAACGUUAGAAAGAAAAAGAAGCGACAUGAACCAGAGGAGGUCUGUGUUUACUCUGAGGUGAACGCUGGGACUGCAGGAAAAUCACCUCCUGCAGCAGCUGAUGAAACAGUUUAUUCUGAAGUCAAACCAGGAACAGCACUUGGUUAUAAAGCUGCCAUAUGAUGAUCAUUCUGUCAUGAUUUAUUCUGCAGAUAAUUAAAUGGGUCUAUUUCAAAAUAACACGUCAGACAGCAUCCUUACAUCGUGAAUAAACCUAUAUCUUGAUAUUUUGUUGUUUUUCUUCCAGGUCUGUAAAGAGAGCUGAGUUGGUAAAGAAAAAUGGUCGACAGCAUUUUAUAAACUUACUGUGUGGGCGUCUGCUUUCAAACAUGAGACAUGUUCAGUAUUGUGUUGUGUGUAAAAAUUGUGUUAAUUUAUCAGUAGAUUAUAAAACAAUUACAUCAUGUGGAUUUAAUUACUCUCUAUUUUAGCACAAAGCACAGGUACGGACUGCAUAUUAUUAGUUUUCAUUUUGUCAUUUAUUUUCAACUUUUCUUUAAGUUUGCUACAGUAUGUUUGAGCUUUAGUACCCAGGUGAUUAUAGUCAGUGUCUUUUUCAGAGUUGGAUGAGAAAGAUCAAGUUCAACAGUUACUUUAUGUCAUGAUCUGCUAUCGAACAACAUAUCCUCACCUGAAUGGAUUUUAUAUUUUUUGUAUUGUUUGUAGAAAAAUUGUUUUGAUCAUUUUAUGCAUCAACAAAGUUCUAUUUCUGUCAGUUGUGAUUUUAAUUCUUCAAAUUGGAUGAGCACAUCCCACAGAAACCUACUGAAACUCAGGCUUGGCAAAAGUCAUAAAGUUUUCAGGGACUAUUUCUUGGUAGAAUUUUUUUCCACUCAAAACUGUUUAUUUUUCAGAGUAACUGAGACAUUUGCUCUGAAAAGACAUGUUGAUGUUAUUCUACUCAUUUAAACUCAGUGCAUCUUUAUUGUGUCAGAGUGAAUGCAGAAAUAGGAAUUUCCAGGGGUCUCAUUUAUAAAACUGUGCUUACAAUCCUCACUAAAAGUCUAUGUAC